AAAAGCCUGUUGAGUUUUCUCCAGCCCCUGAGUUGCUGUGAGCAGGCCAGUGGGGGUCGGGAGGCAGCCAACCAGUUCGCAGGGAGAGAGGGGCUGGUCCUAAUCUGUAGAAUCUGCUCUCUUCCAUGCUGCAAAUACUUCUGUGAUGGCUGAUCUCAAGCGCCAGACCAACAGAGGAGAUGCAGACCGUGAGCUCCAGCAGGGGGCGCAAGCCGGCUAGAGCACACCACCAGCUCCUAGACUCGCGUCUUACUGCUCAUCUCUGGAGUCCCGCUCACUUCUCCAAGAUAUACCCUUGGCAUUUCUUGAAGGCCCUGUUUAUUUUCACUUGAAAAGGACCAAAAAUGAGAUUGACAAACACUCCUUCAAUCAGACAACUCUCCUGGGAAAUAGCAUCUAUGGAGUACCUUAUAUAUGCCAUCUGAUUAAUAUCAGUGGAAAUGAAAAGCCAAAGAAAUCACUGACUUCCACUUAAAUGAGAGAUAAAUAUUUCCUCCUCAGAGGCCUGAGGAAGGGGAGAGAAUAGAUGGUGGCCACUGAAAAUAGGAGUGGGGGGCAGCCAGGACCCUGGAGGGAUGAGGAGCACUCCAAGCAGAAGAAAGACCCUUCUAUGAGAGAGGUCCAGAGGGGAGGACGAGCUGCCCCAAGUGGAAAGGCUCCUCCAAGUUCAGCUGGAAGGACAUCCUGACAUAGGCUGGACACCAGACGUUGGCUGAAAAGUGGGGACCACGUGUCUGCUGUUUGAGAGGCCUGCUACCGGCAGAACUUCCAGCCAAACUCAGUGGUUUAGCAACGGAAGUUUCUCUGUUGCAUGUUUUGUGUUUCGGGGUCUAGUACAUUGACUCUGUCUUCUCAGUGCAAAGGAGAACUCAGCCCCCUGGAAAAAACACGUUGAAGAAAGGGCAAAGUGUAACCACACUGCUCCACUUUGCUAGUCAGGGAUG
ensembl:lncRNA